CAGGUCCAGUCCCCCACACGACAGGGGAUGUGUAAUACCUUUCCCAUCAGCACACUAAUCCUUGUGCUUUAAAAUGUUGGUACAUUCAACCACACCAACAUCUGAAUACUUUCCCACCCCCAGUACCACAUCAGCAAUCACCUCAGGCCUUCAAACCUUUUCAAGUACCACAGCUUCCAUCAUUCAAGAAUCCGCGUCUGGCUACACUAAAGCAACAGCAAUAAUAAGUGUACUCGUCACACCUUUGCAAAUGGCCAGACGAAACACACAAUAGAACAGAACGAGGGAUGAAGCACCCACUCUGCCUUCCCAUACAAAGAAACAAUAGAAAG